UGGUCAUUACAAGGCUUUUAAGAAUGCAGUUUCUCACUUGCUGUAGACAUGACCAUAAAAAUAUACGCCCACUAGGCUUUUUGUGUGCUACUUUGCUAGCAGUCAACCUGUUAGAAACAUUU
rnacentral:snoRNA from 1 species